GAGUUUGAUCGUGGCUCAGAACGAACGCUGGCGGCAGGCUUAACACAUGCAAGUCGAACGCGUGUAGCAAUACACGAGUGGCGCACGGGUGAGUAACGCGUGGAUAUCUGCCUUUUGGUUCGGAAUAACCCCGGGAAACUGGGGCUAAUACCGGAUGGUUCCUACGGGAUAAAGAUUUAUCGCCAAAAGAUGAGUCCGCGUACGAUUAGCUAGUUGGUGGGGUAAUGGCUCACCAAGGCGACGAUCGUUAGCUGGUCUGAGAGGACGAUCAGCCACACUGGGACUGAGACACGGCCCAGACUCCUACGGGAGGCAGCAGUGGGGAAUAUUGGACAAUGGGGGCAACCCUGAUCCAGCCAUGCCGCGUGAGUGAUGAAGGCCUUCGGGUUGUAAAGCUCUUUUGGUC
rnacentral:rRNA from 1 species